rnacentral:misc_RNA from 1 species
GUAGGUGAACCUGCGGAAGGAUCAUUAACACUCUGGGGUGUGUUAGGGCUUGGUGCUUCGCCAUGUGUGAGGCACAGACUCUAACUGCCCUCCCCUUUCAAAACACCAUUUGUGAACUUGAACUAUUUUUCAAUGUGCCUUUUCUGGUGUCUUUUAUUACUCUCUUGCAUUCGUGUGAGGGGGGACAAAGAGAUAUCAGAGAACACAUUACAAAAACCCCCCUUUUUCAAUCUCAAUCAAAAUCAAAAUA